CUGUCAAUGACAUCCUGCUGUUAAAUUUCAGAGUAAACAGUUAGCCUGCUAAUAAGAUAAAUGCAAUGCAGAGAAUAUAAAGCAGUAUGCUAGCAACACCAAGAAUUUUAGCCAGGUUCGACCCCUAACCCUAAUGGUCUACGUCCUGGUCCCCUACCAACUGGUAAGAGAUUAUAUUAUUAAUCAAUAAUAACAACGAUUACAAGAUUCAAUAAUAUAACUCCCUUUCUCCCUUGUUCCUGUUAUCAGCCUGCUGAAACCCCUGAACUACGAACCAAAAGCCUACCAAGACCUAUACUUCCCAAGUAUAUUCUCCUAGCUAACUAGUUCCCUUGUUCCCUUGUUUCACAAGCUGGAUACACAGCAACAAAACAUUACACCUUGAACAAUACAAUGAAUAAGUGUAAUACAACCGAAACUAUGAACUCUCAAUAUAGAUAUAUAUGCGAAUAUAAGUACUAGAGCUCAAAAAAGAUUUAGCAAUGUAAAGAGUUGUAUUUCAGAAAGCUUGGUGUGUUCUCCUUGUUAUGAAAAACGAAAUCACACUCAAGUAUUUAUACAUCACACUAACGGUCAUAAUCCAACAAAUUUCCAACGAUCUUGGUAACAACCUCACGUUUAAAUUUGAUUUGAAUGAUGAACGUUUGGAUGACAUAAGUUUACUGAGUAAAAGAUAGAAUACGUUUGAAAUCAACUCAGUAAAGUAUUUAAAUAAAAUUCGUUUGAAACAAAAUAGGAGUUGUUAAAAGAUAAGAUUUCUUUGAGAUAAAAUCUCCUAUUAGUUAGGAAAAAGUUUUU
rnacentral:lncRNA from 1 species